rnacentral:hammerhead_ribozyme from 1 species
AUCCAUCUGAUGAGUACCAGAUAGGACGAAACGCACGUCCUGGAC